ACCGAGCAACGUUUCAGACUCAGGCUUCCACAGACCCACUGUGCAAAGCAACAUGAACCGUCUGUUUGGAGUGGACCUUCUGGAGGUUGUCGCAAUCGUAAUUGCUUUGAUCGUCAUGGUUCCGAAUGAAGCUUCUUGCAUUUUCGGCGGUGUUGGAGGAAUCGGCGCUCCCGAUUUGUCGGGCAAGAAGUGAAUUACUGCGCAUCCUGCAUCAAGAUAUUCCACCCCUCUCAUGAUUUGCAUGACCGCUACGCCUGCAAUAAAAUGCCUCUUCAAGA